AAUAAAGGCUGCUUUUUCCUAUUGCUCUAGAGGAGGCUGUUGUAUUUCCCUAUUGACACAUCUGUACGGGUGUGUAUAAAUGUAUAUGUAUAUGUGUAUAUUGUUUGUAGGCGCCCGGAGCUGUUGGGUCAAAGCCGACUUUGCUUUCACCAUUUCUCAAUAUCGGUGCUCUUGACAUGGCUAGAAAUUGAAACAGAUGCUGUUUUAUCUUAGAGGUGAAAACAAAGCACUUGAAUCCUAACAUGAUAAUCCCAGAGGAGGUAGAAACAGCACCGGAGAGAGAAAAGCCUGGAAAAGCUGCUGGACUGGACUGAGUGUUUACAGAGAAGAUCCAUGAGUUUCAGGUGCCAGAGAUCCGUGAUCCCCACAAAAAUCUAGGAGUUCAAGCCACAACAACAUUGGAGCCCAGAUUGUAGACAGGGGGAUAUAGCCAUUCAACCCAGCAUGGAAACUUGAGAAGACAGGGUACCUGGCACUUGAGCCUAAGGGAGGUUUUGGACUUGCAACUGGAUCUUUGCUUUAUAGGAAACUAGACAUGCUUUCAGUAACUGAUAUAGAAGGCAGACAGCCAUUCAAGGUCAUAGGAUAUUCCUGGGAGAGCCUGGGCUAGGGAAGAGCCCCUGAAGGAACCUGAAGGGAGGUGAGAAGCCGGGAGAUUGCUUAAUAUUUACAUAUGGUGAUCUCUACAUAUAAAUGUUGAGACUUAACUAAGAAGAGAGAGGGAGAGAGAGAAGAAGAAGAAGAGAAGAGAAGAGAAGAGAAGAGAAGAGAAGAGAAGAGAAGAGAAGAGAAGAGAAGAGAAUCCCGGAUCCUCAGGGUUACCCCCAGCACCUCAAGGAG
rnacentral:lncRNA from 1 species